GAUGAACGCUAGCGGCAGGCUUAAUACAUGCAAGUCGAGGGGUCAGCAAUGACACCGGCGGACGGGUGCGUAACGCGUAUGCAACCUACCUACAUCAGGGGGAUAGCCCUAGGAAACUGGGAUUAACACCGCAUAAUAUUAUUAAUGGCAUCAUUGAUAAUUGAAAUAUUUAUAGGAAGUAGAUGGGCAUGCGUAAGAUUAGCUAGUUGGUAAGGUAACGGCUUACCAAGGCUACGAUCUUUAGGGGCUCUGAGAGGAGUAUCCCCCACACUGGCACUGAGAUACGGGCCAGACUCCUACGGGAGGCAGCAGUAGGGAAUAUUGGGCAAUGGAGGCAACUCUGACCCAGCCAUGCCGCGUGCAGGAAGACGGCCCUCUGGGUUGUAAACUGCUUUUGAAUGGGAAGAAUGUGUGGCUUGCGAGCUAUAAUGACGGUACCAUUAGAAUAAGCCACGGCUAACUACGUG
rnacentral:rRNA from 1 species